rnacentral:rRNA from 1 species
GACGUAGGGCGCGAGCGUUGUCCGGAUUUAUUGGGCGUAAAGAGCUCGUAGGCGGCUUGUUGCGUCGGCUGUGAAAACCCGCAGCUCAACUGUGGGCUUGCAGCCGAUACGGGCAGGCUAGAAUUCGGUAGGGGAGACUGGAAUUCCUGGUGUAGCGGUGAAAUGCGCAGAUAUCAGGAGGAACACCGGUGGCGAAGGCGGGUCUCUGGGCCGAUAUUGACGCUGAGGAGCGAAAGCGUGGGGAGCGAACAGG